CUGAGGCAGCUUCGUGGUCAUGUGACACGGGGAAGGGCGGACGUGAGGCUCACGCACAGGAACGGGGGCAGUGCGACGGCGAUGCGGGGACAUCUUUGUUGAGGGCAAAGAGCGCCAACCGCAGGCAACAAAGCAAGGGCGGUGCAAAUUGGCUUCACGCUUAAACUUUAUUGGAGUUGGUGAUCUUCAAGACCCACGUGUUUACAAGAGAUCUACUGAAUUAUGCUGAUGGCAUAUAACAACAGUGAAGGACAGUGACAAAGGAAGAAAAGGGGGAAAAAAAACCCCAGCUCGGAUAUGUGGGAGUCUUAACGGCAGCAGUAAGUUCAUCACCUCUUCUGGAUUAUCAGGUCGAAAGCAAGUCUCUUUUUCUCCCCCUUACUAGCUACAAUUUAGCACCAUGCCUGGGACAUGGCUUGGUGCUGAAUGAAAUGCUUGUUCAGUUGAAUUAAGUAACCUGGGGAAUGUAUCAACACAGUGAAAAGCAAAUUUUAAGACCUAUAUCUGCCAAACUAUACAAUUUGUACAUUAAGAUUUUUACACAACUCUUUCCACACGGUUGGUAAGAAUAUGUAAUAUAAAACACAUUUUUUUUUUU